rnacentral:rRNA from 1 species
CAGUAGCCGCGGUAAUACGAAGGGUGCAAGCGUUACUCGGAAUUACUGGGCGUAAAGCGUGCGUAGGUGGUGGUUUAAGUCCGUUGUGAAAGCCCUGGGCUCAACCUGGGAAUUGCAGUGGAUACUGGGUCACUAGAGUGUGGUAGAGGAUAGUGGAAUUUCCGGUGUAGCAGUGAAAUGCGUAGAGAUCGGAAGGAACAUCUGUGGCGAAGGCGACUAUCUGGGCCAACACUGACACUGAGGCACGAAAGCGUGGGGAGCAAAUGGGAUUGGAUACCCCUGUAGUCCCUGUCUCUUAUAC